rnacentral:rRNA from 1 species
GAGUUUGAUCUUGGCUCAGAUUGAACGCUGGCGGCAUGCCUUACACAUGCAAGUCGAACGGCAGCACGGGAGCUUGCUCCUGGUGGCGAGUGGCGAACGGGUGAGUAAUGCAUCGGAACGUAUCCUGGAGUGGGGGAUAACGUAGCGAAAGUUACGCUAAUACCGCAUAUUCUGUGAGCAGGAAAGCGGGGGACCUUCGGGCCUCGCGCUCUUGGAGCGGCCGAUGUCGGAUUAGCUAGUUGGUGAGGUAAAGGCUCACCAAGGCGACGAUCCGUAGCAGGUCUGAGAGGAUGAUCUGCCACACUGGAACUGAGACACGGUCCAGACUCCUACGGGAGGCAGCAGUGGGGAAUUUUGGACAAUGGGGGCAACCCGUGAUCCAGCCAUGCCGCGUGAGUGAAGAAGGCCUCGG